rnacentral:rRNA from 1 species
GAUGAACGCUGGCGGCGUGCUUAACACAUGCCAGUCGAACGGAAAGGCCCAAGCUUGCUUGGGUACUCGAGUGGCGAACGGGUGAGUAACACGUGGGUGAUCUGCCCUGCACUUCGGGAUAAGCCUGGGAAACUGGGUCUAAUACCGGAUAGGACCACAUUUUGGAUGGUGUGGUGGAAAGUUUUUCGGUGUGGGAUGAGCUCGCGGCCUAUCAGCUUGUUGGUGGGGUAAUGGCCUACCAAGGCGUCGACGGGUAGCCGGCCGGAGAGGGUGUACGGCCACAGUGGGACUGAGAUACGGCCCAGACUCCUACGGGAGGCAGCAGUGGGGAAUAUUGCACAAUGGGCGCAAGCCUGAUGCAGCGACGCCGCGUGGGGGAGGACGGCCUUCGGGUUGUAAACUCCUUUCGCUAGGGACGAAGCGUUAUGUGACGGUACCUGGAGAAGAAGCACCGGCUAACUACGUG